rnacentral:rRNA from 1 species
UACGUAGGGUGCAAGCGUUGUCCGGAAUUAUUGGGCGUAAAGAGCUCGUAGGUGGCCUGUCGCGUCGGCUGUGAAAACUCGGGGCUCAACUCCGAGCUUGCAGUCGAUACGGGCAGGCUAGAGUUCGGCAGGGGAGACUGGAAUUCCUGGUGUAGCGGUGAAAUGCGCAGAUAUCAGGAGGAACACCGGUGGCGAAGGCGGGUCUCUGGGCCGAUACUGACACUGAGGAGCGAAAAGCGUGGGGGAGCGAACAGG